rnacentral:rRNA from 1 species
AGUGAACGCUGGCGGUAGGCCUAACACAUGCAAGUCGAACGGCAGCACAGUAAGAGCUUGCUCUUACGGGUGGCGAGUGGCGGACGGGUGAGGAAUACAUCGGAAUCUACUUUUUCGUGGGGGAUAACGUAGGGAAACUUACGCUAAUACCGCAUACGACCUACGGGUGAAAGCAGGGGAUCUUCGGACCUUGCGCGAUUGAAUGAGCCGAUGUCGGAUUAGCUAGUUGGCGGGGUAAAGGCCCACCAAGGCGACGAUCCGUAGCUGGUCUGAGAGGAUGAUCAGCCACACUGGAACUGAGACACGGUCCAGACUCCUACGGGAGGCAGCAGUGGGGAAUAUUGGACAAAGGGGGCAAGCCUGAUCCAGCCCUACCGCGUGGGUGAAGAAGGCCUUCGGGUUGUAAAGCCCUUUUGUUGGGAAAGAAAAGCAGCAGGUUAAUACCCCGCUGUUCUGACGGUACCCAAAGAAUAAGCACCGGCUAACUUCGUG